rnacentral:tRNA from 1 species
GUUGAGGUAGCCGAGAUGGUCUAAAGAGCGUCAGAUUAAAGUCCUCUCCGAGGGCAUGGGUUCGAAUCCCACUCUCAACA